CUUUCUGAUCCUUCCACUCCGGGAAACAAGAGGGAACUGCAGAGAUCGAUGGCUAUGUGGUGAGCUUUGAACUGCUAAAAGACUGCAGGAGGUAUGCAUACACAAUUGCUAAGAUUUGUACCACCAAUCCAACAAAAGGUGACCUGCAAUGAGUCAUGACAGCUCAGUAUAUUCUCAUAUACUGGGGUUCUUUUAUUAUGAUAAGUUCACUUGAUUUUAUGUUGUCUCCCACAUAGUUUAUAUUGGAUGAGCAUAUGAGUGAAAUCAUGGUAAGGUUCUUCGAGAUGAUUAGAUCAACAGCCUCCAUGAUCCCUCCUAAUUCCUUCCUCUUUUGGCUGAGUAUUAAUGCUCAGGUUAGCUCAUAGUAAAGUAAAGAAGACCAUUUACUUUGAGAUCCAGGCUUUCAGCACAAGAGGCUUUUUAACUGCUGCUUAACUCUGUUGCAAGUCUUGGGAGUCUUGAGCCACUGAAUCAUGAUCAUGAACUUCAAAAUUUCUGGAAGCUACCUUAGUCUCUAAAGCUGGUUAAUCAGAACUUUUGCUUGGAGAAUGUAAUUGUAAAGGUAUGGUCUCUGUAAGAUAUGCAUCAUCUGACACUUUUUACUGGCAUUUUAUAGUUCUAACAGAUGAUUGUGGAGCUAAUGAACAUGAAGUGAAUGAACUGGAAAGAAAGGGGAGAAAAGUAGCUGGUUCUACUUUAGAGCAAAGGGUUAUGGAAAAUAGUAGUUAAAAAAUGAAAGCUCAUGAGGGGAUAAAGAUGCAGACUUAGAAUUGGAUCAGAACACCCAAUGGGUGAACUCUCAAAUACUUCACAGGGUACUCGAAAGACUGGAUACAGAGCACAAUGAAACAGAUCAAAUUGAUUGUUAUGGUGUGUCAGAUGGACAUGAUAAGCACUUUGCCCUGCGGAAAAGGAAAGAUCAGCAGCUGAUGAUGGGGUUGGGACUUGCACUGUGCAUAGCAUGAGAGAAGUUGCACAAUGUAAAGGAAUCUCUGGUCUUCUUGUAUGGUAACCAUUAUAGUGAACAGCAAUCCUACUUGAGUGAGUCAGAAGGCUGAGUGCUGGCAGAAAGAAAUGUUCAGCUUUGAUUCUUGAAGAUUAGAAACAUCUUUUGGAGUUUGAUCAAGAAGUUUAGAAAUGACGAGUG